UACGUAGGUGGCAAGCGUUGUCCGGAUUUACUGGGCGUAAAGAGCGCGCAGGCGGUCGUGCAAGUCGCGUGUGAAAGCCCCCGGCUCAACUGGGGAGGGUCACGCGAUACUGCUCGACUCGAAGGCAGGAGAGGGAAGUGGAAUUCCCGGUGUAGUGGUGAAAUGCGUAGAGAUGUGGAGGAACACCGAUGGCGAAGGCAGCCCCCUGGGUUAACACUGACGCUCAGGCACGAAAGCGUGGGGAGCAAACAGG
rnacentral:rRNA from 1 species